GACGAACGCUGGCGGCGUGCUUAACACAUGCAAGUCGAACGGAAAGGCCCUGCUUUUGUGGGGUGCUCGAUUGGCGAACGGGUGAGUAACACGUGUGUAACCUUCCCUUGACUUUGGGAUAACUUCAGGAAACUUGGGCUAAUACCGGAUAUGAUCUCCUGCUGCAUGGUGUUGUUUGGAAAGUUUCGGCGGUUGGGGAUGGUCUCGCGGCUUAUCAGCUUGUUGGUGGGGUAGUUGCUUACCAAGGCUUUGACGGGUAGCCGGCCUGAGAGGGUGACCGGCAAAAUUGGGACUGAGAUACGGACCAGAAUACAACGGGAGGCAGCAGUGGGGAAUAUUGCACAAUGGGAGGAAGCCUGAUGCAGAAACGACGCGGGCGGGAUGAAGGCCUUCGGGUUGUAAACCGCUGUCGACUGUGACGAAGAGUGAGUGACGGUAAUGGGUAAAGAAGCACCGGCUAACUACGUG
rnacentral:rRNA from 1 species